rnacentral:rRNA from 1 species
CGAAUCGCAUGGCCUUGCGCCGGCGAUGGUUCAUUCAAAUUUCUGCCCUAUCAACUUUCGAUGGCAGGGUCUUGGCCUGCCAUGGUUACAACGGGUAACGGAGGGUUAGGGCUCGACCCCGGAGAAGGAGCCUGAGAAACGGCUACUACAUCCAAGGAAGGCAGCAGGCGCGCAAAUUACCCAAUCCCGAUUCGGGGAGGUAGUGACAAUAAAUACUGAUACAGGGCUCUUUUGGGUCUUGUAAUUGGAAUGAGUACAAUUUAAAUCCCUUAACGAGGAACAAUUGGAGGGCAAGUCUGGUGCCAGCAGCCGCGGUAAUUCCAGCUCCAAUAGCGUAUAUUAAAGUUGUUGCAGUUAAAAAGCUCGUAGUUGAACCUUGGGCCUGGCUGGCCGGUCCGCCUCACCGCGUGCACUGGUUCGGCCGGGCCUUUCCCUCUGGGGAACCCUAUGGUCUUCACUGAUGUAGCGGGGAACCAGGACUUUUACUGUGAAAAAAUUAGAGUGUUCAAAGCAGGCCUAUGCUCGAAUACAUUAGCAUGGAAUAAUAAAAUAGGACGUGUGGUUCUAUUUUGUUGGUUUCUAGGACCGCCGUAAUGAUUAAUAGGGACAGUCGGGGGCAUCAGUAUUCAAUUGUCAGAGGUGAAAUUCUUGGAUUUAUUGAAGACUAACUACUGCGAAAGCAUUUGCCAAGGAUGUUUUCAUUAAUCAGGAACGAAAGUUAGGGGAUCGAAGACGAUCAGAUACCGUCGUAGUCUUAACCAUAAACUAUGCCGACUAGGGAUCGGACGGUGUUAUUUUUUGACCCGUUCGGCACCUUACGAGAAAUCAAAGUC